AACAGAGGCUAACAACUCCACCUUCUUCUCUGUGUCCUCCUCAGACUUGAUGUCUAAGUGGUUGGGAGAGAGUGAGAAGUAAGUCGGUGGCCAG
ensembl:miRNA